rnacentral:tRNA from 1 species
AGGGGAGCGCCGAAGUUGGAGAGUCGGGGCGGACUGUAAAUCCGUCGCGUUUUGCUGAGUGGGUUCGAAUCCCACCUCCCCUACCA